GAAAAGUUGCUGUUGUCAACUUGGAUCCUGCCAAUGAUAUAUUGCCUUAUGAGUGUGCUGUGAACAUAGAGGAACUGAUUAAGUUGAGUGAUGUUAUGUCCGAGCACUCUCUUGGUCCUAAUGGAGGCCUCGUAUACUGCAUGGAUUAUCUAGAAAAGAAUAUCGACUGGUUGGAAUCUAAGCUGAAACCUCUUGUAAAAGAUCACUAUCUGCUUUUUGAUUUUCCUGGCCAGGUGGAACUAUUUUUUCUUCACGCU